rnacentral:rRNA from 1 species
AUUGAACGCUGGCGGCAUGCCUUACACAUGCAAGUCGAACGGUAACAGGUCUUCGGAUGCUGACGAGUGGCGAACGGGUGAGUAAUACAUCGGAACGUGCCCAGUAAUGGGGGAUAGCUCGGCGAAAGCCGGAUUAAUACCGCAUACGCCCUGAGGGGGAACGUGGGGGACCGAAAGGCCUCACGUUAUUGGUGCGGCCGAUGGCUGAGUAGCUAGUUGGUAGGGUAAAGGCCUACCAAGGCGACGAUCAGUAGCUUGUCUGAGAGGACGAUCAGCCACACUGGGACUGAGACACGGCCCAGACUCCUACGGGAUGCAGCAGUGGGGAAUUUUGGACAAUGGGGGAAACCCUGAUCCAGCAGUGCCGCGUGUGCGAAGAAGGCCUUCGGGUUGUAAAGCACUUUUGUCAGGGAAGAAAACCUUCGGGGUAAUACCCCAGGGGGAUGACGGUACCUGAAGAAUAAGCACCGGCUAACUACGUGCCAGCAGCCGCCGUAA